GGACCAGUGUCAGCAGACUGUUGCCGCCUGAUAGCCUGAUAGCUCAAAGAAGGGAAAAGUUGAUCCUUUUGUUUUCUGUGAUUUCUACCUGGACAAGGCCUGGUACUAUACCCACAGAUAGGAGACAAAUUGGAUAUUAUUUGCCCAAAAGUGGACUCUAAAACUGUUGGCCAGUGUGAGUAUUAUAAAGUUUAUGUGGUUGAUAAAGACCAAGCAGACAGAUGCAUUAUUAAGAAGAAAAAAAAAAACCCUGUUCAACUGUUCCCGACCACACUGAGAUGUGAAAUUUACCAUCAAGUUUCAAGAAUUCAGCAACAGCAUCUGGGGUUUAGAAUUUCAGAAGAACAAAGAUUAUUACAUCAUAUGUAAGUGUAAUUCUCUCUCUUUAUUUUGUAGGCAUUGGGAUAAGCUAACUAGGUUUGUAUUGAUUUCUGUUUCCUUUAAAUUAACAUGGUAAAUCAUUUGUUAAGAAGCUUUGUUCUUUUUGUUUUUUCAAAAUAAAUUAAUUGAAAAUUGGGA